UAAAAUGUAGCAUAUCCUAAUGCACUUUAUUUACACUAAAGUGAUACUUUAAUUUAAAAAGUCAUUUUAA
rnacentral:tRNA from 1 species